AAGAUUUUAAGUUAAAUAAACUAAUGGUCUUCAAAGCCGUAAAUGAGAAUUAUUCUCAAAUCUUG
rnacentral:tRNA from 1 species